rnacentral:pre_miRNA from 14 species
UUCUCAACUAUUCAUAUUGAAAGACCCCCGGAGUGGGGAGACCCUCACUCAAGUCUUGGGAUGACGCAACCUCCCAAGAACUCACACAAGACC